CCUACGGGUGGCAGCAGUUUUUGCUAUUUCCCCCUUUCUUCCCCUCUGCUGCCGCGCCGCCGCGGGAGGGAAGACGGUCUUCGGAUUGUAAACCUCUGUCUUUGGGAAAGAAAAUGACGGUACCCAAAGAGGAAGCUCCGGCUAACUACGUGCCAGCAGCCGCGGUAAUACGUAGGGAGCGAGCGUUGUCCGGAAUUACUGGGUGUAAAGGGAGCGUAGGCGGGCGAGAAAGUUGAAUGUUAAAUCUACCGGCUUAACUGGUAGCUGCGUUCAAAACUUCUUGUCUUGAGUGAAGUAGAGGCAGGCGGAAUUCCUAGUGUAGCGGUGAAAUGCGUAGAUAUUAGGAGGAACACCAGUGGCGAAGGCGGCCUGCUGGGCUUUAACUGACGCUGAGGCUCGAAAGCGUGGGGAGCAAACAGGAUUAGAUACCCCUGUAGUC
rnacentral:rRNA from 1 species